CCUUGCACCAGGAUCCCGCCUGAGGCAUGAGGCGGCGCGCUCGGGGGAGGUGAUGUGACUUCCCCAGAGUAGUGAACGGUGUGUCAGUACUUACCGGUCAGCUACACUGAGCUUCUUUCCUUUUGGGGGAGAAUCCAGUUCCAGGUGUUUGGCAAUGGCAGAGGCAGAAGCAGACACUAUCAGCAAGUUUUAGCACCCUUGACAGCCACUACUGAUGAUUAUGUUACAUCACUGAAAAGGAUGGAAUUACUCACAUAUCCUCAGACUUAAGAAUUAGCAAUAUAAUGGUGUCAUUCUGCAUAAGAAAAGUGCUGGGCCUACAUCGUUUGACAGAACAAUGUAAGCAUCUUACUAGUGCAAACAAAAAGAGCAACUCACCAUAAAAUAAAGGGAACAAACACUAUCCAUUCAACAGUGCAGAC